UCCCUGGAGGACUAGUGGUUAGGCCUCGGCACGCAAGCUGCCAUGGCCCGGGUUCGAUUCCUGGCCAGGGAA
rnacentral:tRNA from 1 species